GCUGGGCAUGGUGGCGCGUGCCUGUAAUCCCAGCUACUCAAGAGGCUGAGGCAGGAGACUUGCUUGAACCUGGGAGGCAGAGGUUGCAGUGACCCGAGAUCACGCCACUGCACUCUAGCCUAGGUGACAGAGCGAGACUCUGACUCAA
rnacentral:sRNA from 1 species